UGUACACGCUGUGACUAGCAUAUCAAUAAGCGGAGGAAAAGAAACUAACAAGGAUUCCCCUAGUAACGGCGAGUGAAGCGGGAAGAGCUCAAAUUUGAAAUCUUAAAGGGUUUCCCUUUACGAAUUGUAGUUUAAAGAAGUGUUUUCUGUUGAGGUUUUGGUAAAAGUUCUUUGGAAUAGGACAUCAUAGAGGGUGAGAAUCCCGUAUUUGACCUUUACUUUCAACUUUGUGAUACACUUUCAAAGAGUCGGAUUGUUUGGGAAUGCAGUCCAAAAUGGGUGGUAAAUUUCAUCUAAAGCUAAAUAUUGGCGAGAGACCGAUAGCGAACAAGUACCGUGAGGGAAAGAUGAAAAGAACUUUGAAAAGAGAGUUAAACAGUACGUGAAAUUGUCAAAAGGGAAGCGUUUGACACCAGUGUUGUUUUUCUGAAAAUCAAUUAAAGAACUGUUUAUGCUAAGUUGUUUAGACUUUAUCAGCUAACUGUUUAGUUUUGAGCUUUUCUUUAAUGCACUUUUCAGUUAACAAGUCAACAUCAAUUUCUUUUGCUGUAAAAAAGCUUGAGGAAGGUGGCUUGAGAUUCGUCUUAAGUGUUUAUAGCCUCUUGCCUAUGCAGUCGGAGAGAUUGAGGUCUGCAGCGUAGAUCCUUCGGGGCUAAAUGCAUUUGUGCUAAGUUAUAGCAUUUUAUAGACAACUUGUUGACUAUGAUUUGUCUUGUAGCUUACUCGCUUAUGUUAUUUUACCUACGCUUAGGAUGUUGACUGAUAUGUAGUCGUA
rnacentral:rRNA from 1 species